rnacentral:rRNA from 1 species
GGCGGCGUGCCUAUACAUGCAAGUCGAGCGGACAGAUGGGAGCUUGCUCCCUGAUGUUAGCGGCGGACGGGUGAGUAACACGUGGGUAACCUGCCUGUAAGACUGGGAUAACUCCGGGAAACCGGGGCUAAUACCGGAUGCUUGUUUGAACCGCAUGGUUCAAACAUAAAAGGUGGCUUCGGCUACCACUUACAGAUGGACCCGCGGCGCAUUAGCUAGUUGGUGAGGUAACGGCUCACCAAGGCAACGAUGCGUAGCCGACCUGAGAGGGUGAUCGGCCACACUGGGACUGAGACACGGCCCAGACUCCUACGGGAGGCAGCAGUAGGGAAUCUUCCGCAAUGGACGAAAGUCUGACGGAGCAACGCCGCGUGAGUGAUGAAGGUUUUCGGAUCGUAAAGCUCUGUUGUUAGGGAAGAACAAGUACCGUUCGAAUAGGGCGGUACCUUGACGGUACCUAACCAGAAAGCCACGGCUAACUACGUGCCAGCAGCCGCGGUAAUACGUAGGUGGCAAGCGUUGUCCGGAAUUAUUGGGCGUAAAGGGCUCGCAGGCGGUUUCUUAAGUCUGAUGUGAAAGCCCCCGGCUCAACCGGGGAGGGUCAUUGGAAACUGGGGAACUUGAGUGCAGAAGAGGAGAGU